GAGGACACUAAGACGACAAGGUUUUGUGUCCAGGGAUGCCCAGUCAUCCUACAAAGCUGAUUUCUGAAAAGGAGGGGACAGAUGCAUAACUUCUUCCCCAGUGGUGACCUGGGUCUGGGAUCUCAGACCAGAUGAUCUUGAGGGUCCCUUUCAGGAGACACCGGCAAGAAAUGAAAGUGAAAUCAGGGGAUAGUGUCAUCAGUCAGCACAAAUGUGACAAAGUUCAGAGAGCUGUUUACUUAGGCACAACUGCGCCUGCCAGCCAGUCAUAAGCUCGGGGCUUAUGCUCGGGGCUGCAUCGUUCCCGUCUCCACCGGCCUCGUUUCUGGAACCUGACAUUAGGAGGCAGCGAGAGAGAAGAAUCAAGCGAACCUGACUUCCUGCUCCUCCUCUUUAUGAGUGUUUUGUGGGUUCUGCAUCUUCUUUUUGGGAAAACAAUCCACAGAUCCAGGGAGCAUGGCGCCUCGCAAGCGGUGGAGCAUUCUUUCCAGGGAUGUGGGACAGAGCAUUAGAAGAGGCAACGUGGCUUAUGAUGAAGCCUCGACCUCAUAGCCAGCAGGUCCUAUUUCCUGGGGAAGGUGAGCUGGCUCAAGCUGCUGGAAGACUGUGAUUGGUGUAUGCUAGGGUUCCUUGACAGGUGUUUCCCAGGCAGGCAGACUUGGGUUUAGAUUUGUGACCUGGGCUGGGCCACUGGGGCCGCCUCACUUUCUGAGUCCCAAUAUACAACCUACCUUGAUCAGCCAAAAAUCUAGACUUGAAUAGACUUUGGGAGGGGACGCCCCCGAUCCCCAGCUCUUCUGUGAGGACACAGAUCUUUUGCCCACUCAGCCGCAGUAGGGAGGUGGAGGUACUAACAGCAAAGACCCUGGCAGAGCAGAGAACACAAAGGAGCAGCAACCUCGGCCCCUUCCUGCAGCAUCCCGCCCACCAGGAAGCAUCAGGCCUCAGUCAGCACCCCACUAAGAGUGACCAGGGAAAGAUUCACUUCCUGAGGAAUGGAGGGAGAGGCCCCAUAGCACCUGCCACUCAGUUUGCCUGUGAUUUGCUUUCUUUGAGUUAUUUUAGUGAGUUACAAAGCCAUUCCAUAUGCGUUACAAACUCUCCAGGUAAGAACCGCAUCCUCCUGUGUGGGGAUGGAGGUGAAGUCCGAGAAAACUUAGCCUCCUUUCUGGCCAACUCUCAAAAUAACUUUUGCAAAACUGAAGGUCUAAGUCUAAGUGACCAUCUAUCAUCCUUUCCCUCCUCUUCUUUCCUUUUGACUGCCGGGGGCAAACUACGUUCACCAGUUUUACAGCAGGGUUAGUGGGCAGAACCGCCAGAGACAACGCCUGGCACUGCUCCGACCCCAGUUCAGGAACUCUCCGCACCUUCAGCCCCACCACCUGGGGCCUCGCACCUUAGGUUCGGGGGAGCAGGGGCUUGAGUUAAUGAAGCACCUAGUGAGGAUAUAAUCCAAACCUCUCACCCUGGCCUCCAAGGUCCCUUUACCAGUCCAGCCUCGUCCUGUCCCCUCAGUCACUGGGCUGUCACCCAGCCCCUGGUCUGUUCCUCUCCCAACCCGGUAUUUAUAACCACUGCACUCUGUUUCUAGAAGGCUCUUCCCCUGGCUCUUUCACACCCCUCAGGCCUCAAAUCAAAUGUCUGCUUCACAGACAGGCCUUCCCUGACCCUCCAAUGGAGACCCAUCACUUCCUUCUACCAGGUUCUCUCCUUCACAUCAACCUGUUUAUUUGCUUCCCAAAUCUCUUCAAAAAUUAUAAUCAUCUUUUUAAAAAUACAUGUUUGGUGUUGGUCUCCCCAACCAGAGUGCAAGCUCAAGGAAGGCAAGCCCCUGCUUUGCCCCGCAUGUUACCGAUUCCCCAGGGCCUGUGACUCAGGGAAUCGUCCAACAUGUACCAUUGCUGGAGUCGCAAGAGGAAACCCUGGCCUCGUCCGCAGAAGGGGGGCAGUGACUCUCCAUGUGAGCGCGGGAGAGAGCGCGGGAAGCAGCACAAUCGAGAGUGGCAGCAAAGGCCGUCACUCUUUGCUGGUACUGUUAUUUGUCUUCACACUCUGCCUUGGGGCCUGUGAAUCCUGGCCCCCCAUAAACUGCACUGUGAAGCCCCCCAGUAAAAACCAAACGAGGAUGGGUCCCAAGGUGCAGGCGUUUCCUCAUUUUUAAGGAUUUUUCCCCCGCCGCGGUAAUUUUUUUUUGACCUUUGUUCCCAGCUGGAUCAUCUGCUUACUAGCAGAGCUAAUGAGCAACAAGACAACUGGACAAACAGCAGGUUAAUAUUACUGGGGCCGCUGAGGCAGGCUAUUGCAGUAGCUUGUUGGGGGUGGGGGGCGGCGAGUGCUCCGCCUCCACGCUGCAGUCUCAGGGUGUAGUCAUGUUUCUGCUGGCCAAGCUGUUUUUAUUUACAUGGAAAAAUUAAGUAAAUCCAGACGUCACAGUGUUCCAUAAAAAGCCACUGCUGGCCCGGCCAUCCACGCGGCAUCUGAAACCCAGGCUGCUGCUUCCAUCUUACAACAUUUGGGAAACAGCACUGUGGCCUCGUUUUCAAAAGUAAGAACCUGAGCUCACGUUUCUGCCAAAGCAAACAUGACACAUUUCCCUUUCUUCUUCCCUUUUUAUUUUCGUCAGGAGCCACACCCAAACCAGAACACGCUCAUGCUCAAUGAGUUCAGCUAGACAGAUUUUCGCCAGGGCUGGAGGCCCCCUCUGACAAGCUGGCUCUCUCCUCUGUCAGAUUCUGUUUUUCUGACUUUCUUCCGCUCGUAUUUUCUUCCCCGGGCUUCGCUCCCCACCAUUCACGUCGCAGCCCCACCCUCCGCCCCUGCCCUGCUCUUCCCUCGUGUCCCCUUUCUCCCCUGGACCACACAGCCUCCACCGCAGCACCAGAGCAGGCAGCACAGUCCACCUGUGCAGAUCAAAUUAACUCACUUCAGUCUCACAACAGCCCCCAGGGACAGGCCCGCAGGCGCGUUAAGGGCGGGGAUGUAGCUCACGACAUGCCCAAGGUCAUGCGCUAUGAGCGACAGGACAGCAGCCUGAACCCCGGUGGUCCGGCGCUAAGGUCCACGCUCUUCACCACCACGUCCCUCACACCAUCCCGGAGUCGUCGGCGCCAGCCACCAGUGAGGCCAGCUUCCUGGAGUCCAGGUCCUCCAGGGAAGCUCUGUUCUGAACUCCAGCACUAGUGUCUGCCUCAGUUUCCUCUCUAUGAUAAUAAUAAUUUAAGUAAUACUAGGUAAUGUUCCACAUGCUGCACAUAAAUCACCUCACUUAAUUUGCAUAACAUUUACAAAACAAGUUCUAUCAUUAUACCCAUUUUGCAGAUGAGAAAACUAGGCAGAGAGGCAUUCAGGUAGCUAGUAAAUGGUAGAGCAGGGAUUUGAACCCAGGACACACGGCUUCAAAGUCUAAGCUCAGUGUCACCCCCAUACAAGAGGAGAAUAAUGUGAUGUCCACACACUGUAGCCGUGAAGAUUAAAGGGGAUGAUGCAUGUGAGGGCCAGACCUCGGGAGACAAAGCUCAGGUUCUUACAGUGAUUUCACAAUUCUGCCCGACAGGCCUCACCAGGCUCACUUGGGGAAGUUACUGAGCCUCACUAAGCCUCAGUUUUCUCCUCUGGAAAGUGAAGAUAAUAACAUUAAAUGUGCUCUCAUGCUGGAAACUUAAGAAUACCUGCUUAGUGCUUAGUACAGGGCCUGGCACAAGGUAAAUGCUCAAAAAGAUUUUGAGGUCAGUAUUUAAUCAUUAAUAAGCCCUCAAUCAAACUAGAUUCCUUCUUAGACACCUCCAGAGAUCACAAAGACUUCUCAAAGCAAGUUCUGCCCUCUAAGGUCCCCUAUAGCUUUCUUAAGUCAUUAAUGAGAAGGAAGGCUGGGAGAUGAAUUUGUGGCCGAUAAACUAAAAACCCAUCCGUUUUUCUUUCAAGCUUCUGUUCUACAAAACUUGCAAACUGUGUAGUGUCUGACAGCAGCAAAAUUAUAACAUCCAAGUUUUGCCAGGUCAUGGCAGCAACUGCUCCUGCUGGUGGCGGGGUGGCGACUCACCACACCUGAGUCCAUCCUUGCAAGGGCCUCACAGUGUCCAACGCCUGAAGCCAGCUACAGGCGCACAUACAUGUCUGAGAAAGAGGGGACAAGCUUGAGGAAACUUACAUUUAGGAAAUGGGAAGAAUAAAAUACAGAGAAGGACCAGAAGGAGGAGAACUAGGACAGAGAUUCAGGUCAAAAAAAUAGAAGGAGGUGGGCUUCCCUGGUGGCGCAGUGGUUGAGAGUCCGCCUGCCGAUGCAGGGGACGCGGGUUCGUGCCCCGGUCUGGGAAGAUCCCACAUGCAACGGAGCGGCUGGGCCCAUGAGCCUUGGCCGCUGAGCCUGCGCGCCCGGAGCCUGUGCUCCGCAACGGGAGAGGCCACAACAGUGAGAGGCCCGCGUACAGCAAAAAAAAAAAAAAAAAAAGAAGGAGGCAUUUAGGAAGCUCUAUGUGACAUGGCUGACGUUCACUAAACCAUUCAGAGGUCACUCAGUGGAUACUUACUGCGUGCCCAUAAUGUGCCAGGUAGUCCUGGGUGUUGCGGAUAUAACAGUUAAAGACAGAUUUUGAGAGAGACGGGCAGCCAUAGAUUUUUGUCUGAUUUGCCUAACAGAUAAAAUUCCUUGCCCACAUGAAGUUUACAUUCUACUGAGGGUUGUAGGUGGAAGACAAAAGAAAACAUUUAGCAUGUUAGAUGGUGGAAAACAGCAAGGAGGAAGAGCAGGAAAGGAGCGCAGGGAGAGCGGUGCCAGGUGCCGCGGAGGGGCUGCUACGGCUUCAAAAUGCCGACCAGGGAUGGCGCCACUGAGAAAGGGACCUUUGAGCAGAGACCCAAGGGAGGCAGACACGUGAUAAUCGAAGAGCACUCCAGGCAAGGAAUGCAAGUGCAAAGUCCCGAGCUCGCCUAAAGUUUUUGGAAAAUGCGGAAGGAGCCAACGUGGCAGAAGCUGGGGGAGGGACUGGAGAGCAGGAAUAACGGGAGAAGAGGUCCAGGAAGUGACACGGCACUAACAGCACCGGGGAGUCCUGAUCCCAAGGAAGCAGGAGAAGGCCAAGUUAUUGUUAAUGUUGUCCCUGCAAAGUGGGCGCCCUUGGCGUCAAGAGUCAUCCUUGUUAACAAGCGCCAGGACAUUUACACACCUGCAGGCACAGCACACUGUAUCAUUCCCUGGCCGAGGAAUUCAAACAUUCCAGAGUCUCGUCCCCACCCUCUGGAGGGGGAGCUCGGACUGAAGGGGACACUUACAGGAACUUGCCUUCCUCUCCGAUGGGCACCUAUAAGGGCUCAUUAAACACUUGAUGAACGAAGCAGAAUCUCCCAGUGGUGGAUGAGCGGUGCCCUGAUAUAAGCGACAGUGCAGGGUGCUCCAGGAGGCCGCCCUCGGGGGCACCAUUCGGGACAGAGGCGUGCAGGUGGUGAACUCGGGCAAAAUGGCGAGAAACUUAAUAAGCCCCAGCUGUAUAUAAAGUCUUGUUACUAAAUAUCAUUAGAUGUUCAGGCAGGAAGAAUGAACUGAAAAAACAGGGACUUCCCUGGUGGCGCAGUGGUUAAGAAUCCGCCUGCCAAUGCAGGGGACACAGGUUCGAGCCCUGGUCUGGGAGGAUCCCACAUGCCGCGGAACAACUAAGCCCAUGCGCCACAACUACUGAGCCCGCAUGCCACAACUGCUGAAGCCCACGUGCCUAGAGCCCAUGCUCCGCAACAAAGAGAGGCCACCGCAAUGAGAAGCCUGUGCGCCGCAACAAAGAGU